UUCUCUUUUUCUUUUUCUUUUUCUCUUUCUCUUUCUUCUGGAAUCUCCACAGAGAACCCCUUCUUCUUCUUCUUCUCUCACCAAGACCCUCCAUAACCCACAAACCCAGAAACCUAUGAUCAAUGCAUAGUUUAUCAGCGCGAGGCAAUUAGGGUUUUUCAGUAUAUAAAACCUAACAUCGGCACCUACUUCUUCUAACUGCUUUCACACUCUCUUUCGAAGAUCCGCCGAUAAAUCCCCAAGUAAAAACCUUAGAGGGCAGGAAGCAAUGGCCACCGUACCUGGGCAAUUGAUCUGGGAGAUCGUUAAGAGCAACAACUCAUUUCUCGUGAAGCAAUUCGGGAGAGGUAACGCAAGUGUGCAGUUCAGCAAGGAGAGCAACAACUUGUGCAAUCCCAACUCGUACAACUUCAGCCUUUUUAUUUGAUUAUGUUGCUCAUUGUUUGGUUCACGAGAUUUAUUUUUGUUGAACUCUUCUUCUUCGUUUGCGUUUGUUUUAUGAUUUAAUAUCUUUUGUUUGUCAAUUCGUAGAGUACUGGAAACUCCUAAUUAUGUUUGAUGAGAUCUUAAACCUGUUUGUCAUAUAAUGUUCAAAUAAUGAAUGUGGUUAAUGAUAAGAAAGUUUAUUUGAUGAAA